UACGUAGGGGGCUAGCGUUGUCCGGAAUCAUUGGGCGUAAAGCGCGUGUAGGCGGUUCGGUAAGUCCGCUGUGAAAGUCGGGGGCUCAACCCUCGGAUGCCGGUGGAUACUGUCGGACUAGAGUGCGGAAGAGGCGAGUGGAAUUCCUGGUGUAGCGGUGAAAUGCGCAGAUAUCAGGAGGAACACCAAUUGCGAAGGCAGCUCGCUGGGACGUUACUGACGCUGAGACGCGAAAGCGUGGGGAGCAAACAGG
rnacentral:rRNA from 1 species